rnacentral:rRNA from 1 species
UACGUAGGGGGCGAGCGUUGUCCGAAGUUACUGGGCGUAAAGCGCGCGCAGGCGGUCCUUUAAGUCUGAUGUGAAAGCCCACGGCUCAACCGUGGAGGGUCAUUGGAAACUGGGGGACUUGAGUGCAGAAGAGGAAAGCGGAAUUCCACGUGUAGCGGUGAAAUGCGUAGAGAUGUGGAGGAACACCAGUGGCGAAGGCGGCUUUCUGGUCUGUAACUGACGCUGAGGCGCGAAAAGCGUGGGGAGCAAACAGG